AAUGGCGACCGGCGCACGGGUGAGUAACACGUAUCCAACCUGCCGAUAACUCGGGGAUAGCCUUUCGAAAGAAAGAUUAAUACCCGAUGGCAUAAUUAGACCGCAUGGUCUUAUUAUUAAAGAAUUUCGGUUAUCGAUGGGGAUGCGUUCCAUUAGGCAGUUGGUGAGGUAACGGCUCACCAAACCUUCGAUGGAUAGGGGUUCUGAGAGGAAGGUCCCCCACAUUGGAACUGAGACACGGUCCAA
rnacentral:rRNA from 1 species